UGCCGAAUAGUAUAGCGGUUAUUACCCCCGACUCUGACUCGGGUGACCUUGGUUCGAUUCCUAGUCCGGCAA
rfam:Spirosoma linguale DSM 74, complete genome.